AAUUGACAUUUAUGGCUUAGGGUNNNNGCCAGAGGAAACUCUGGUGGAGGGUCGUAGCGAUUCUGACGUGCAAAUCGAUCGUCAAAUGUGGGUAUAUGGGCGAAAGACUAAUCGAACCAUCUAGUAG
rnacentral:ncRNA from 1 species